AAUCACUUUCCUUCUCUUCCUACUCUCCCAAGACUUAACAAACUUCUCUUUCCAAUGUCCUCCUGCAGAUAUCUCACCAUCACCAAACUGCUCCCCACAUUUCUUCUUCCACAAAUCAUCACUCGAACACAAAUAUCGCAAUUCAGAGCUCAAACAACUCACUUUCGCUAUCUCAACACCCGGAAGUGAUUCCAAAAUCUUCAACUUAAGCUCAGUCGGAAGUCGAGUAAAGCACGGUGGAAGCACAAAACCAGACUUUUCACACAAAUCAAUCAACAAUGGCAAUACAAGCCCAUCCUUAACAUUCCUCCAAAACACAAACACUUCCUUCUCUCCAAAAUCUCCAUCUACCACCUCAUUCAAUCCACAAUUAGCCCAUACAACAUUCAAAAAUGGAACCAAUUGAUCUUCGUUUAACGUUACUCUAAACGUGGAUCCCUUCCCCCCACCGGAUAACGACCCAUGAGCAAUAAAGAACUUCCCUAAAGACUGAAACUUUAACUCAAUACAAUGAAUCACAUUACAGUUAUCUCCUUUAACAUGAUCAAUAACCUCAGGCAAAGUGUAAAACAAUGUCUUUCGAUAUCCCAAACACCAAUAAUUCAAACAUUG
rnacentral:misc_RNA from 1 species